rnacentral:rRNA from 1 species
ACGCACAGCGAAAGGUGCUUGCACCUUUCAAGUGAGUGGCGAACGGGUGAGUAACACGUGGACAACCUGCCUCAAGGCUGGGGAUAACAUUUGGAAACAGAUGCUAAUACCGAAUGAAACUUAGUGUCGCAUGAUACGAAGUUAAAAGGCGCUUUGGCGUCACCUAGAGAUGGAUCCGCGGUGCAUUAGUUAGUUGGUGGGGUAAAGGCCUACCAAGACAAUGAUGCAUAGCCGAGUUGAGAGACUGAUCGGCCACAUUGGGACUGAGACACGGCCCAAACUCCUACGGGAGGCUGCAGUAGGGAAUCUUCCACAAUGGGCGAAAGCCUGAUGGAGCAACGCCGCGUGUGUGAUGAAGGCUUUCGGGUCGUAAAGCACUGUUGUAUGGGAAGAACAGCUAGAAUAGGGAAUGAUUUUAGUUUGACGGUACCAUACCAGAAAGGGACGGCUAAAUACGUGCCAGCAGCCGCGGUAAUACGUAUGUCCCGAGCGUUAUCCGGAUUUAUUGGGCGUAAAGCGAGCGCAGACGGUUGAUUAAGUCUGAUGUGAAAGCCCGGAGCUCAACUCCGGAAUGGCAUUGGAAACUGGUUAACUUGAGUGCAGUAGAGGUAAGUGGAACUCCAUGUGUAGCGGUGGAAUGCGUAGAUAUAUGGAAGAACACCAGUGGCGAAGGCGGCUUACUGGACUGUAACUGACGUUGAGGCUCGAAAGUGUGGGUAGCAAACAGGAUUAGAUACCCUGGUAGUCCACACCGUAAACGAUGAACACUAGGUGUUAGGAGGUUUCCGCCUCUUAGUGCCGAAGCUAACGCAUUAAGUGUUCCGCCUGGGGAGUACGACCGCAAGUUGAAACUCAAAGGAAUUGACGGGGACCCGCACAAGCGGUGGAGCAUGUGGUUUAAUUCGAAGCAACGCGAAGACCUUACC